UUCUGAUCCUUUUUGUUAUUUCCUAUUUUGCUAUCCCACAGAAUUUACAAAGCGGCAUCGAGCUCCUUUUAAAAAAUUGGCAACACGCUUUCCAGUUCGUCUGCAGUAGAAAAUCAGUUGAUCGUUCAAUCACGUGCAAUCAAAAUCGCGUUUUUCCGUUGAUUCCGUGUGAAUUGUGUGAUUAUAACGUGGUCAUUUGGCAAAUUUGUCCGUACACAUAAAGAUUUUCCUUGUGAUACACGUGGUUGAAACAAAGCAUUCAAGUCAAGGAGUUAAUCCCAGAAUUCCCAGAUCAUAUCGUACGUUGGCAAUUUGGUACAAGUGGUACUUGUAAGAAGCAAGAAGCCAAGUAGCAAGGCCAAUGUUACAUCUUAAUACAGCAACAAAAACGUUAAGCCUUUCAACUUUUCAAGUGUUAUGUGACUGUUGGAAGUUACGUUUGCUUAUGAAAGGUGCAUUGAUGAAGAAAAGGUACCUGGUGAAGUGAAUUCUAAUGUUCAGUAACUGUUAUAGCUACUCACAUCAAUUGACUGACACUGUUUGACCUGAAGUAGCAAGAAUUUCAUUUUCCAUUAUUAGCGGAUUCCAUGUGGAGUUCAGAGCUCUCACAAAAGAUCAAUCAUGCCUAAUCUCCUGCAACACAAGUAACAAGAUGAAAAACUUCUACAACUCUUUGUUGUGUGUAUUUUAGUAAAAUAACAAUUUCUGGAUUUUUCCUACAGAAUUCAUAAAUUCUUUUCGAAUCUUGAGGACCGUAAUGACUGCAACCAGUUUUUUGAAAAAACCAGCCCCAUAAAUUCAAACAGUUAUUUGCAGUUUUGGCCAAGACGCUCACUCGCCUUUUUCGAUGUCAGGCAAUGCGGAUUAAGAACUGGAUCCUGGCGAAUCGUCACUCAUACUUCACUUAUAUGAAAGCCUGGAAUCUUGGUGCGUACAAUGUGAUGCUUCAACUGGCGUCAGUCGAACAAAUCAACAGACGGACCUUAGUAGUUAAAAAUAAUUGCCCAUGAAAUAUCCGAUAAAGUACAUGACAUGGAGAGAAAAAAACGGACCAACUUCGAUCGACCAGAUUGCAAAUUGAACAGCCUAGCCCGACGUCCCAAGAAAAACUCUUUGGCUUGCAUCUGCCCAUUCGUUGGCCUCCAUUCGUUAAGUGAGUUCUCUUUGCCAGUUUAAACGAACGAACUCACUAUGCAUGGCUCCGUUGGGAAGAAAUGGUGACACAUCCGGACACGGAGAUCACCAUCACUGAAAUCUGGACACAUCGGGCGGUUAGUAGACGCACAAGUGAAGUAAAUCGCUAAAUCCAUCGGCGUGUAGUUAUCCCAUUCGACGUACCAAAAACAACCAGUUAAGUCCCAUCUCAAUGUGGAUUGUGUAAACGCAAUAUGAUGGAAACUAUGAAGUUGUGGCAACCAAUCGUCAAAGAGGAAUGAAGAUCUUUUUGGACUUUGGAAAAAGCCAAAAAAGUGCACCAAGUACGUCAAUCUCUACACCUCACCUCUCUCGACUCAAGGGUACACCAUAGACUUGGAUAUUGAGAGGGAAACCGAAAAGCUAUGACCAUGAAGGAAUCCGAAGAUCCCAAGGAUUGCUGGCCCGAAGAGAUGACGACGGAAUUGGAAUCAGCUGAGCAAGAGGUCAACGAUUUUACGACCGAUUGUGAUGGAUAAACCGCGACUACUACGAUUACUAAAGUCCAUCUAAAUCUCUGUCUGAAUCUUCAAUGGUGAAAUAGGAUUUCCUUGUUCUCGUUACCAAGGGCAUGUAAGGCAUGCCGAAGGAUCUUUUUCCUUUCUCCACGUGAUCGCUGCCGUAUCACGAAGAUGCUUCUUUGAGAGGGUCUCUACUAUAUUGCAAGACAAAAAUGUGAUGAGAUUAGGAAAUCUGAGAUGGUAAUAAUGUACUUGUAAGAUAAAUCAAGUAGGUAAGUAUAUUGCUUACAUUUUAGUCUACGGAUGUGUGCUAAAGAGUCGUACACUUGUAUGUUACUUUAGAAUGUUUAAAAUUAAAUUUAGGUGUUUUUUUAACAUGUUAACUGAUGCAGUGUUUAUUAAUUAUUUUACAAUUACUAUUGUAGAGUUCAACCUGCAGACCAGUUUGCAUGUCCUUCACGCUUGAAGCUCUGCUUGAAGGUUGCGGGGAAUAUUACGUGUAAAAUUGUCAAUGCUGUGGUGUAGAGGUUGGGUGAGAACUGAACGUGUUGCAUCAUUAUCAAGCAGACCCAUCCCCAGCAACGUCAACCUAAAGAAGGAAAGCCC